rnacentral:lncRNA from 1 species
UUGUGAAAUGACUAUUAAUUACAAGCACAGCAUCAUCAACGGUGAUUGCAAGAACUACUGCAAUCCCUGCGGUUUUUCCUCUUGGUAAAUGCGUUCUGGUCGUGACCAAGGGUGGUCUCCCAAAUCGGCCGGGAAUAAGGCUAUUGUUGCAGAACAAAACGCCGCAACCACUGCUGGGGUAAAUAUGUUCCAGCAGAACUGCCCCCCGCCGUCGGUGUAAUGAUUUCGAUAGCUGAACAAACGCCAUCUCCUGGGCAUUCCCACAGCUUGCCGACACUAGCUAUUAUAGCACGUGUGAAUGCAACUGCGGCUAAAUUUGGUUAUUAACAGUGCAAUAGUACCAUGUCAUUGGCAAAAACACUAAGGGCUGCUGGCACACAGAGGUUGUAAAGUUUUUGGUAUCGAUGAUCUUACUCGAAGAAGACGAUGGCCGAAAACAUAUGAUGAAACAUCUUCUGGCAAGCCUUUGAAAAUCGUUAAGUCAGACGGAGUCUUCACAUACGAUAUUUAACACAUGGCUGGAAUUCGUUAGCGGACAGAGCACACAUUUACAAAAUAUUUAUCGUUCUACAGAACGUUCAUGCAUAUUCGAUUCCGAUUUUAUGGGUUGAUUACGGAGGACAACCGAACUUCAGUUGGUUGGCCAGUGGCUGAAAUGGUAUUACCGAUGGCAACUAGCAACUGAAAGCUGGCAACUAAUGGCGCUGUCCAUCGGCAACCCAACUGAGGUUCCGUUCCCAUCCAUAAUCGAUCCAUAAGUCAUAAUCGCACGAACUAAUCAAGGCUAUCAUAGAAUCUAUCGUAGUCCGAUUUUUCGUGAAAUCUACGAAAAUGCUAUUAAGUUCGAGUAGCUACGAACGCAGCGCUUGCUUUGAAUACACACGUUCAUAGCAGUUCAGAUUCAGUGAUCGCUUUUUCGUAGAUUUUAAGAAAAAUCGGACUACAAUGGAUUCCGCCACCAAUAUGUUUUCUCCUUUGACAAGAUGUUGGAGAAUCGCGGCAGCACAGCCGUAUACCUACUCUAUGCUCUUACGCGCAUAUGCUAAAUUUCUCGCACCUAGCUAAAGUGCUUGACAAAGGCAGAACGCAUAUCU